rnacentral:rRNA from 1 species
GACGAACGCUGGCGGCGUGCCUAAUACAUGCAAGUCGAGCGGACCACUUCGGUGGUCAGCGGCGGACGGGUGAGUAACACGUGGGCAACCUGCCUGUCAGACUGGGAUAACACCGGGAAACCGGUGCUAAUACCGGAUAAUCCUUUCCUUCACAUGAGGGAAAGCUGAAAGACGGUUUCGGCUGUCACUUACAGAUGGGCCCGCGGCGCAUUAGCUAGUUGGUGAGGUAACGGCUCACCAAGGCAACGAUGCGUAGCCGACCUGAGAGGGUGAUCGGCCACACUGGGACUGAGACACGGCCCAGACUCCUACGGGAGGCAGCAGUAGGGAAUCUUCCGCAAUGGACGAAAGUCUGACGGAGCAACGCCGCGUGAGCGAUGAAGGCCUUCGGGUCGUAAAGCUCUGUUGUCAGGAAAGAACAAGUACCGGAGUAACUGCCGGUACCUUGACGGUACCUGACCAGAAAGCCACGGCUAACUACGUGCCAGCAGCCGCCGUAACAC